ACGUGGUAUCCUUUACCUGAAUUACGUCAGUGUUACCUGACUCAAGGGGGCGGAGGAAGCUGUGAUCUACAUGGGCAGGAUCAACUUACUGCCCACAAGGGGAGGGACCAGACGAAAGGUCCAUCCAAUGCGGACAGGGGGCGUAGCCUACCGUCUCUGGUCACUCCCAGGGGCGGUGGUGUGAGGAAUAGUGUAGAGGAGAAAGAGGGGACUGGCUUUGAGUGCAGGGGGAGGGAUCAAAUGACGGACUGGAAUCGGAUUAGAUCGGAGGCUUUGGGGAAGGGUGUAGUUCCAGAGGCAUUCCGGGUGAUUGUGCGAGUUUUUCUACAGAAAUUCUUCGUUGGCAAACCGAAGCCAACUCCAGAUCAACCGAGGGACGGACAACGGGAUCGAGAACUACUCAUCAAGAGGAGCACCACACCUGCAACGCUGACACUUCCGAUGUUGCUGAUGUUUAUGGUGUCCCUGGCGAUCACAGCGUGUCGCAAACAACUACAAUGGAAGCAAGAACAUAGGCAGAAGAUUAAACAAGAGCGUAAUCCCUUUGGGAGUUGGCUGAACAGACUGUUUGUGGGAAUGGGUUCAUGGUUAAAGCAAUUGCUUAAGGUUUUCGCUACGGGGCUUGCAAUUUCUGUAUGUAUUCUAAUCUGUCUUCUAUGCUUUGUAGGAUGCUUGCAGAGCUGCCUGCAACAAAUGAUGGAAAAGACUUUUGACCAUCGGAUUGAGUAUCAUAGACUGCGUGAAAGGUUGUAGAAGGGUUUAGGUUGUUGCGUUCGUGCUGUAACGGGGCAAGGCUUGGCAGAGCACAGGAAAGGAUUCUCUGUUGCUCUGAUGUUUGCUUAAGGAUUGCAGUAGAAAGAUAGUAGGAAUAGUGUGCUGAAAUAUAUUUAAGAUUAGGCGCUUAGCGUUGCUUCGCGAUGUACGGGUUAGGCACGCAUAAGGAACAUUUAGCUUAGGGAGGGGGAGAUGUUGUAGUAGGCGCUUGACGGAGAUACGUGCUGUAUGGGAUAGGCCUAUCCCUAAGCACAGUGAAAGGGUGCUGUUGUGCUCAGACAGACAGUCCUUGCUAACGAAGUAAACAAGAUAAGAAGGCGAAGGAAUGAGGAGACAAUAGGAGCCAAAUAAGGA
ensembl:lncRNA